AUUGAACGCUGGCGGUAUGCUUAACACAUGCAAGUCGAACGGUAACAGGCCUUCGGGCGCUGACGAGUGGCGGACGGUGAGUAACGCGUAGGAAUCUGCCUCAUAGUGGGGGACAACGUGGGGAAACUCACGCUAAUACCGCAUACGCCUACGGGGAAAGCGGGGAGUCUUCGGACCUCGCGCUAUGAGAUGAGCCUGCGUUAGAUUAGCUAGUUGGUAGGGUAAAGGCCUACCAAGGCGACGAUCUAUAGCUGGUCUGAGAGGACGAUCAGCCACACUGGGACUGAGACACGGCCCAGACUCCUACGGGAGGCAGCAGUGGGGAAUAUUGGACAAUGGGCGCAAGCCUGAUCCAGCAAUACCGCGUGUGUGAAGAAGGCCUUAGGGUUGUAAAGCGCUUUCAAUUGGGUAGGAAAACCUGCCGGUCAAUACCCGGUAGCUUGACAUUACCUUUAGAAGAAGCACCGGCUAACUCCGUGCCAGCAGCCGCGGUAAU
rnacentral:rRNA from 1 species